rnacentral:rRNA from 1 species
CACGUAGGGUGCGAGCGUUGUCCGGAAUUAUUGGGCGUAAAGAGCUCGUAGGCGGUGUGUCGCGUCGGCCGUGAAAACCUGCAGCUUAACUGUGGGCUUGCGGUCGAUACGGGCAUCACUGGAGUUCGGCAGGGGAGACUGGAAUUCCUGGUGUAGCGGUGAAAUGCGCAGAUAUCAGGAGGAACACCGGUGGCGAAGGCGGGUCUCUGGGCCGUAACUGACGC